rnacentral:rRNA from 1 species
GUGAACGCUGGCGGUAGGCCUAACACCUGCAGGUCGAACGGCAGCACAGUAAGAGCUUGCUCUUCCGGGUGGCGAGUGGCGGACGGGUGAGGAAUACAUCGGAAUCUACUUUUUCGUGGGGGAUAACGUAGGGAAACUUACGCUAAUACCGCAUACGACCUACGGGUGAAAGCAGGGGAUCUUCGGACCUUGCGCGAUUGAAUGAGCCGAUGUCGGAUUAGCUAGUUGGCGGGGUAAAGGCCCACCAAGGCGACGAUCCGUAGCUGGUCUGAGAGGAUGAUCAGCCACACUGGAACUGAGGCACGGUCCAGACUCCUACGGGAGGCAGCAGUGGGGAAUAUUGGACAAUGGGCGCAAGCCUGAUCCAGCCAUACCGCGUGGGUGAAGAAGGCCUUCGGGUUGUAAAGCCCUUUUGUUGGGAAAGAAAAGCAGCAGGUUAAUACCCCGCUGUUCUGACGGUACCCAAAGAAUAAGCACCGGCUAACUUCGUG